GAAACACUAUACUGCAAAAACUUCCGCUUAACACUGGCAAUGUUCACAUAAAAUGAUUAAUUAGUUCGCAGCUGUAUAGGCUGUCUCAGCAGCAAAUCCUGCUGCUCACCCGGCGUGCUUAAAGCCACAACUCUGCACCCUUGCCAGUGAACCUACUUAGCUAACCAGAAGAAAUCCCCAAGUUUAUGGUUGGGAGUGGGACUUGGGGUUUGGGAUAAAUAACAAAAAAUAUAGAGAUUUUGGCACUUACCCCCUAUUUGAAAGUCGAAAUUUGUGUCGCCCCAUUUGAAAAAAUAUAGCAGUUACACCCCCAAUUGGAUGGAAAAAUUUAACGGUGUUACAAAAAUCAAUUUUUAAAUUUUUUUUAAAAUAAAAUAUUUUAAUAAUAUCCAAAAUACCUUUUUUAUUCUAGUAAUAAUGACAUGUGUCAUAAUCUUAUCCAUCUAUUUAGUACUUAAGCUAACGGUCAACUUUGUUGUCUUAAAAAUACAAUGAGAGAACUUGUAGAGCAGCUUACCAUGAAUAGCGGUUGGCUCUGCUGCUGUUGUUUUAGCUUAUGUUACUACCUAAUGACUUUGCUACUCCAGCAGUCCAUUUUUAGUUAAAAUUUUGUGGUCGUCAACACUCUUAUCCUUAUUUCAUAUCCUUGUUCUUUCCCUCUUUAGUAAGUUUGAGUAGGAAGAAACCUGAUAAACUCCGUUGAACGGUUGAUUUCCUCCUCUGAUCAAUUCUUUUCUUAGAUCUUAAUGUUAUUCUAGCUCUAGUGAUCAUGGCUGUGGUACCAAUUGGGUUGGGAAGUGGUCGGCAUCAGGUCGUCUACCCUUGGAAGAGUCAAGAGGAAACAGUGAAAGAGAAAGUGGUGGUGCAAAGUGAAGCCUUGAAGGUUACUUAUGCACAGAGAGCUACGCAAAGGUUAACACAAACUGUUAACAUUGCAGAUCUACCCAUACCAAGCCAAAAGGGAUCAACUUUCGCUAUUAAACUUCCACUCAAGUCAGUUGAGAAGGGUUUGGAGGCGUGCAAGAAUGGAUCUGUCAAAGGUUAAGUUGGAGGAAAUUAGAAAGGCAAUCACAAAAGAAUGGGGACUUACAAGCUCAGUUCAUAUCUCUCCAUUGGGUAAGGGAUAUGUUAUGUUCAGAUUCAUGUCCGAAGCAUAUUAUAGAAGAGUUUGGUUUGGUGGACCUUGGUUUAUCAAGAAACAACUUUUACGAUUUGUUAAAUGGAGCCCAAAUUUCAGUAUAGAUAAACAGAAACAGUCUACAGCUUUGGUGUGGAUUCGUUUUCCAGGAUUAAGUCUUGAAUACUGGGAAGUCGACAUACUAAUGGCAUUAGGCAGAACAGUUGGGUGUCCCAUUAGAGUUGAUGAAAACUCAAUUCAAAGGAAUAUUGGUUACUAUGCCAAUGUACUUGUGGAUCUGGAUCUCGCUCAACCUAUACCAGACAAGGUUCUUGUUGAGGUAGAAGAGCUUGGAGUGGAGUUCUGGCAGGAAAUUCAAGUAGGUAAGAUCCCUAAAUUUUGUACACAUUGCAAAAUUGUAGGGCAUCAAGUAAAUGAUUGCAGGGUACUCAAAAGAGCCUGAACAGAAAGGCAAAGGUAUUGUUAUUGAGACGCAUGUACCAUUAAAUAAAAAUCAGAAGAAGAAGGAAAGGAAGAGGAACAGAAAGGCUCAGAAGGAGGCAGAGCAUGGAAAUGAGCCCCAGAAGAUACAGCCUGCUGCUGAUGCUUCCACAAGCAAGGGUCCAGAGCAAGCAGCUUUGGAGGUGGACGGAGAAGACAAUACCCUGAAGGUGCUAGAAGAAGAGAUAGUGGAGUUAGCAAGUGAAGAUGGGAGCCCUAAAGUUGUGCAGCAAGGGGAUGAACCAUUUCCCUCAGUUGUGCCCGCUACCCCUUCAUCCCCAGUGAAUCAACAAGAUGUUGAUAAUACCACUGUCACAAUCAAUGGCUCUGAUGAGCUGGCAGUGGUGUUGGUUGUUUCACCAGAUGUUCAAAAUAGGCUUGAAGUGCUGCCACAUGAGGGAGUCAUGGAGGAGCACGCAAAUGUAGAGGCAGAAGCAGAACAAGUGAAAGAAAAAUGGGCUGAAUUGGUUGAAAAGGAAGUACAAAGGUCCAAAAACUCUGGUGAGUCCACCACUUACUAAAGCUAGGACCAAAAGCUAAUACUCAAAACAGUCAUACAAUGAAGGUCCUCUUCUGGAACCUUCAUGGCAUCAAGAAUGCCAAAACUAAAGAAAGACUGAAAUCCCUUAUAUCCAAAUACAAUGUAGAGCUUGUUUGUCUAGCGGAACCACUUAUUAGGCCUACCACUAGGGCCAUUAAAAGGUUGGGGCUGACAGGGUUCAACAACACACUAGUACAUAAUCAUGCUGCAGACAAAAAGGGGAACAUCUGGAUACUUUGGAAGGAUUACCUCACUGUUGACGUGAUCUCUUCUUCUAACCAACAGAUCUCUGUAAUAGUGAACAACAGUAUUGUUUCAGUGGUCCAUGCUCACUGUUUAACAGUUGAAAGGGUUAGCUUGUGGGAGGAGCUUAAGGCACUGAAGUCUCUCAAUCUGCCGUGGCUGGUUGCUGGUGACUUUAACAUUAUAAUGAGAAGAGAUGAAAAGAAGGGUGGUAGACCAACCUCAGGAAGAGCUAUUCAUGAAUUUGUGGAAUGGGCAGAGCAGUGUGACUUACUGGAAUGUCCUUCUACAGGUUUAGAAUUCUCUUGGUCCAACAAUCAGCAUGGUGAAAAGAGAAUUUACUCAAGAAUAGAUAGAAUCUUUUGUAAUGUCUCCUGGGAGCAAGCUUUUGGUAACUGGAGGUAUAAAGUUCUUGGAAGAGGACAGUCAGAUCAUGCCCCUCUCACUGGUGCUAGCUACUCAAUUCCAAGACCAUCCAAUGUACCAUUCAGAUUCAAUGUAGCUUGGAUUUCACAUGAAGAUUUCAUGAACUGUGUGAUAUCAAGCUGGAACGCGCCACUGACAGGAGCUCCUAUCUUUGUGGUACAACAAAAACUUAAAAGAUUGAAAGAAGAACUGAAGUGGUGGAACCGAAAUAUCUUUGGUGACAUAGAAAAGUGUGUUACAGAGGCAGAAAUUGAGCUAACAUAUUGGCAACAUAAAGCAGAAGAGGACUGGGAUAAUGCAAUGAUACAGGGUAAGGUCACAGAAAAACAACAUAGUCUGGAACAUGCCUUGCAAAGACAAGAAGACUUUUGGAAGCAGAAAAGUGGCUCUCAGUGGAUGCACUGCAGUGAAAGGAAUACUUCUUACUUUCAAAAGCUUUGUAAAGUUCAUGCAGCCCACAACUUCAUUGUUGAAAUAUGUACUGAGGACGGAAGAACACUUACUGCUCAAUCAGGAAUUCAGGACCACAUAGUAAAUUACUUCAAAGAGAAAUUUACUGAUAACGGUGUAGUGAUAUUGGAUUCAGAGUUGUUGAAUUACAUCCCAAGUAUGGUGAAUGAAGAGGAGAACAUUGAGCUAAUCAAAAUGCCGAUUGAAGAAGAGAUAACCUAUGCAGUUUUUUCACUAAAUGCAGAUAGUUGUCCUGGUCCGGAUGGUUUUCAAGGUUGCUUCUACAUGUCAUGCUGGAAUGUAAUUAAGAAGGAUGUGGUGAGAGCUAUCCAAUCUUUCUUUGCAGAAGCAGUACUCCCUAAAGGCAUGAACUCCAGCUUGGUGGCCCUCAUCCCCAAGGAAAAAGGUGCCAAUCAAAUCUCAAAGUAUAGGCCAAUUACUAUGAGUAAUUUUCUUGUAAAGAUUAUUACUAAGAUUAUGACUGCUAGAAUUACUCCUAUUGCUAACAGAAUUGUUUCAGUUGAGCAAAGUGGCUUUCUACAUGGUAGAUCAAUUCAGUCAUGUAUCAGUCUUGCUACAGAAAUGAUUAACGAACUACAGGUGAACAGAAAAGGCGGCAAUGUGGCACUAAAAGUCGACAUUACCCAGGCUUUUGAUACAUUGGACUGGGGCUUUAUCCAGGCCGUGCUUCUCAAGUUUGGUUUUCAUGCUACUUGGUGUCACUGGAUCAUGGUGAUUAUAAGAAGUGCUCAUUUGUCUAUUAUGAUCAAUGGCUCCCCAUGUGGUUUCUUUCAACCUUCGAGGGGCUUGCGACAGGGGGAUCCAAUGUCCCCAAUUCUCUUUGCUUUGGCUGAAGAGGUUUUGAGUCGAGGGCUGAAACAAUUGAGGAACAGUAGAAUUGUAAAGGCUAUGUGUGAGAUAAAGAGGGUGUCUGGGCCUACACAUCUCUUAUUUGCAGACGACGUCUUCAUUUUUGCAAAUGGGGAGACAAAAGGUUUGAAGAAGCUGGCAGAGUUCCUCGGCAAGUACCAAGCUACUUCAGGCUAGUGUGUCAACGCAGCUAAGAGUAAGCUCUUCAUGGGAGGUCUUACAGGGAGAAGACAACAUAAUAUUGAAAGGAUCUUUGGUAUACACCAGGGCACCUUACCAGACAAGUAUUUGGGAGUGCCACUUAUGCAAGGAAGGGUGAAGAGAUUCCAUUUUCUGCCCCUCAUUGAUACAAUCAGACAGAAAGUUAACAAUUGGGCCGACGAACUCUUGUCUUUUCAAGGUAGGGUGGUGCUCGCAAAGUCAGUUUUGGCAAGUAUACCUAUCUACAAUAUGAGUAUCUAUCAAUGGCCAGCUUUAGUUAUAAAGGAGUGUGAAACAAUCAUCCGUAACUUUAUAUGGACUGGUAGCUCUACAACAAGGAAGUCAGUGACAGUGAAAUGGGACUCAGUUUGUAAACCAGUUGCAGAAGGUGGACUAGGGAUCAGAAAAUUGAAGGACAUUAAUGAUGCUCUACUGAUGAAACUUGCAUGGGGAGUACUGACACAGAAGGAUGAGCUCUCCAAGCAUUUGAAGCUGAAAUUCAUGAACAAAGGGGGUGUUAUAACAAAGCAGUACAAGCACACCUCUAUAUGGCAGGGAAUUAUGAGGCAAAUGACAAGUGUUAAGAAUAAUACCAGUUGGCUUAUUGGUGAUGGAAGUAAAAUAGAUUUUUGGAGGGACAAAUGGUGUGGGGACUCUCUAGCACAAAGGUUGAAUCUUCAAGAAGUUGAAAUCAGAUUUUGCAAGUCCAAGCUAAGUAGCAUCAUACUCAAUGGUCAAUGGAAUGUGGGUCAACAUGUUGUAGAUAUCUUGCAGCUUGCUGGCAUCUUUCAUCUACCAGAACUGACAGAGGGGGAACAUGACACUCUGAUAUGGGAGCACAACAACUCAGGUGACUUCACUACUACUUCUGCAAUGGAAGCUAUUAGAAGCAAGUAUGAAAAACCUAACUUGGUGAAACAUGUUUAUAGCAGCGCUGUGCAUCCUAAGCUUUCAGGUAUUGCAUGGAAACUUUGUCAUAACAGGGUCGCAGUGGACAAUACAUUCAAAUUUAAGGGUAUUUCUAUGGCCUCUAGAUGUGUACUAUGCAGAAAUGAAGAAGAGACUCUGGACCACUUGCUUUGGCAUUGUCUAGAGUCAAGGAAGAUAUGGAAAUGGGUAGCUGACAGCUUUCACACCAAUGAUAAUUUUAAUUGCUUGGAGGAAGCUGUGAGAAAAUGGGAGCAUGGUAGUUCAUUGACUAGAGAAUUGUGGGGAGCUACAAUUGUAGCUACAAUGGUGGAGAUUUGGAAAACAAGAAAUGAGAUCAUUUUUUAUGAAGGGAAGUUGAAUGCAGAAGCACUAAAGAGAAGAAUCCACAGCUGGAUAAAGGUUGCAGGUAAACUCACUAAAGGAACUGUAAGCAGUGGUAGUAGUGAAAUCCCAAUGUUAGAAAAUCUCAAAAUGAUGGUGAGGUUACCAAGAGCUCCAACAAUAAGGCCUUGUAGAUGGAUUGCUCCUCUUGAAGGUUUUAUGAAGAUGAAUACAGAUGGAAGUUACAAACAAGAAAGCAACAAAGCUGGAAUUGGGGUGGUCUUCAGAGACCACAAUGGCCAAGUUCAAGGAGGGCUGAGCAAAGCAGUGAGACCUUCUAACAGUUUCCUGGCAGAAUGUCAAGCAGCAGUGGACGGCCUGGUAAAUGCAGCACAACAAGGAUGGAAGAAGUUGUGGAUUGAAUCAGACUCAACUGUUAUGGUGCAUGUCUUGGGCAGAGGACAGGUGCCAUGUGUAUUCAAGAGUAAAUGGAACAGUGCAAUGACUAAAAUGGAGUAUGUUUACAUCACGUCUACAUGGAGGGAGGUCAACUUCACAGCUGAUUUCCUAGCCAACCAUGGUGCAUUACUAGACUUGGGAGACUCACUUCAAUUUGUAGGGCGAUCACCACUCAUCACUAGACUGGAAGACCCGCAAGCUGUCUACUUUAGAUUCAACAAUCCUUCUUAGUUCAGUCUUCCAAUCUAUAAGGAGGACCUGAACGGGUGUAAUUUUUUUCAUUUUUUCAAUAAAAUUCUAAUGCUUAUCGAGUAAAAAAAAAAAAAAAAAACUUUGUUGUCUUCCUCAAAAAUCCAAAAUCCCCAAAAGUUUAUGAAUAAACCUAACUUUUCUCAAAUAAAUUUCAUGUUCUUUAAAUUUAACAAAUUUCUCAAACAAAUUUCAUCUUUUUUCCUAAAAAUUCAUUUUCUCCUUCAAAUUUUUUACAAAUCGAUUUGGGGGUAUUGUUAAUUAUGUAUGUUUCCGUGGGGGGUUUUACUAAUUAUGUUUAUUAUUUACAUGUUUAAAGAAAGGUAGUUUUGGUAUUAUCAAAAUAUUUUAUUUUAAG
rnacentral:lncRNA from 1 species